AAAAAUUGAAUAUCUCUAAAAGAAGGGAUGUCAAAGGGUAAAGAUCGUUUCAACGCGUAUGACUUGUUGAUGGAUAGUACAAAUUUUUGGUGUUGAAACAGCUCAACCAUACAUUGCAUGACGUCAUGGUUUAAAGUAUUAACUCUCCAUGUCGAUCCUCGCUAUCUUAAAUCUGAUAUCGGAUAGUAUAUGCACAAGUUAAUCGAGAAUGGCAAUUCACCAAGUCCA